rnacentral:rRNA from 1 species
GAUGAACGCUGGCGGCGUGCCUAAUACAUGCCAGUCGAGCGAACAGACGAGGAGCUUGCUCCUCUGACGUUAGCGGCGGACGGGUGAGUAACACGUGGAUAACCUACCUAUAAGACUGGGAUAACUUCGGGAAACCGGAGCUAAUACCGGAUAAUAUAUUGAACCGCAUGGUUCAAUAGUUAAAGACGGUUUUGCUGUCACUUAUAGAUGGAUCCGCGCCGCAUUAGCUAGUUGGUAAGGUAACGGCUUACCAAGGCGACGAUGCGUAGCCGACCUGAGAGGAUGAUCGGCCACACUGGAACUGAGACACGGUCCAGACUCCUACGGGAGGCAGCAGUAGGGAAUCUUCCGCAAUGGGCGAAAGCCUGACGGAGCAACGCCGCGUGAGUGAUGAAGGUCUUCGGAUCGUAAAACUCUGUUAUUAGGGAAGAACAAAUGUGUAAGUAACUAUGCACGUCUUGACGGUACCUAAUCAGAAAGCCACGGCUAACUACGUG